GACGAACCGUGCGAACGUUGUUCGGAAUCACUGGGCUUAAAGGGCGCGUAGGCGGGCUGCCAAGUCAGGGGUGAAAGCCCACGGCUCAACCGUGGAAGUGCCUUUGAUACUGGUAGUCUGGAGGGAGGUAGGGGCGUGCGGAACUUCCGGUGGAGCGGUGAAAUGCGUAGAUAUCAGGAGGAACACCGAUGGCGAAGGCAGCUCGCUGGGACGGUACUGACGCUGAGACGCGAAAGCGUGGGGAGCAAACAGG
rnacentral:rRNA from 1 species